GGCACCCUUCAAGGAGCUUACCUUCAAUGGAUGUGUGAUAUUUGUGUGUAAGUAUGUAUGAAAUAAUGCACAGUGAUUUGAGAGGGAGGCUCUAGCAGCUGGGGAAAUUAGGAAAUGCCCAAAGUUGUAAAAGCUGAAUUAUAAAGGAAACCAAGGAUUCUAGCAGGGGUUGGAGGUUGGGGGGUAACUAGGUGGCACAAUGAUUAGAGAGCCAGGCCUGGCUGGGAGAUCUUGGAUUCAAACUAGUCUCAGUCAUUUCCUAGCUGGGUGACCCUGGGCAAGUCACUUAACCCUACUUGCCUGGCCCCUACUUCUUUUCUGUCUUAGAACCAAUACUAAGGAUUCUAAGGCAAAGGGCAAGCAUUUAUAAUAAAUAAAUAAAAGAAACUAGGUAUUCUAACUGGGGGAAGCUAUGUGGCACAAUAGAUAGACUGCCAGGCCUGGGUUCAAAUGUGGCCUCUUCCACCUUAGAACUGGUACUGGUACUGGCACUAGGUAUUCUAAGGCAAAAGGUAAAGAUUUAAAUUUAAAAAAAAAAACCCAAAAACUAGGGAUUUUAGCUAGGGGCGGCGGCUAGAUAGCACAGUGGAUAGAGUGCUAGACCCGGAGUUAAGCCUCUUCUUUGUGAAUUCAAAUCCAGCUAGCUGUGUGACCCUAGACAAACCAUUUAAUCCUGUUGGUGUCUGUUUCCUCAUCUACAAAAUGAGUUAGAGAAGGAAAUGGCAAACCACUCCAGUAUCUUUGCCAAGAAAACCCCAAAUGAAGUCACAAAGAGUUGGACACAACUGAAACAACUGAACAACAUUCUAAGAAGCAGGGGUGAGAAGGGAGAGUAUUUCAGGCAUGAGGGAGAGCCAAUACUCUGGAGAGACAGGUCUUAGGAUGCUGUGUAUGAGAAACUCUAAGAAAGUUAGUUUGGCUGGACUAAAGAUCAUGUUCAUGAAAAUGAUACAAAAACAAACAAACCUGGAAAGGUGGAUUGGGAACAGGUUGAGAAGUGGAAAAAGCUGGAGUUUCAGGGAUGGCAAGGAAGAGCAGUGACUGGGGAUGAAGACUCUGGAGCACUGGAUAUGUCAUUCCCUUUGGAGAAACCAGGGUUCAGCUUAAAGUCUCCAUUCCUGAUUCCAGUUACUUCUAUUUCCAUAUACUCUUUAACUAUUUUUUAAUAAAAAAAACUUUUUAAUUGAUAUAUUUGGGGUU
rnacentral:lncRNA from 1 species